rnacentral:rRNA from 1 species
UACGUAGGGUGCGAGCGUUGUCCGGAUUUAUUGGGCGUAAAGAGCUCGUAGGCGGUUUGUCGCGUCGGCCGUGAAAUCUCCACGCUUAACGUGGAGCGUGCGGUCGAUACGGGCAGACUUGAGUUCGGUAGGGGAGACUGGAAUUCCUGGUGUAGCGGUGAAAUGCGCAGAUAUCAGGAGGAACACCGGUGGCGAAGGCGGGUCUCUGGGCCGAUACUGACGCUGGAGGAGCGAAAGCGUGGGGAGCGAACAGG